rnacentral:rRNA from 1 species
GAUGAACGCUGGCGGCGUGCCUAAUACAUGCAAGUCGAGCGAACGGACGAGAAGCUUGCUUCUCUGAUGUUAGCGGCGGACGGGUGAGUAACACGUGGAUAACCUACCUAUAAGACUGGGAUAACUUCGGGAAACCGGAGCUAAUACCGGAUGAUAUUUUGAACCGCAUGGUUCAAAAGUGAAAGACGGUCUUGCUGUCACUUAUAGAUGGAUCCGCGCUGCAUUAGCUAGUUGGUAAGGUAACGGCUUACCAAGGAAACGAUGCAUAGCCGACCUGGGAGGGUGAUCGGCCACACUGGAACUGGAACACGGUCCAGACUCCUACGGGAGGCAGCAGUAGGGAAUCUUCCGCAAUGGGCGAAAGCCUGACGGAGCAACGCCGCGUGGGUGAUGAAGGUCUUCGGAUCGUAAAACUCUGUUAUUAGGGAAGAACAUAUGUGUAAGUAACUGUGCACAUCGUGACGGUACCUAAUCAGAAAGCCACGGCUAACUACGUG